rnacentral:rRNA from 1 species
UACCUGCAGCUCGAGUGGUAACCGCUAUUAUUGGGCCUAAAGCGUCCGUAGCCGGUUUGGUAAAUAUCUGGGUAAAUCGUGAGGCUUAACUUCACGAAUUUCGGAUAGACUGCCAGACUUGGGAUCGGGGGAGGUCAGAGGUACUCCAGGGGUAGCGGUGAAAUGUUGUAAUCCUUGGAGGACCACCGGUAGCGAAGGCGUCUGACUAGAACGAGUCCGACGGUGAGGGACGAAGCCCCGGGGCGCAAACCGGAUUAGAUACCCGGGUAGUCCAGGGUGUAAACAAUGUGGGCUUUGUAUUGGAGAUCCCACGUGGGUGUCCAGUGCAGAAGAGAAGUUGUUAAGCCCACCGCCUGGGAAGUACGGUCGCAAGGCUGAAACUUAAAGGAAUUGGCGGGGAGCACAGCAACGGGAGGAGCGUGCGGUUU